AGUCCUAUGACUUCUUUACUGAUUUUGAAUAGUGCUUUGUAUAAUAAUUAUAAUUCUGAUUUAAUUAAUAAUUUUGGCACAAAAAUUUUGUUUUAUAAUGUUGCAGGAUAUAAUUACAGAAAUCCAGAAAUUCCUUCUUUUAUCCAAAAGAAAGAAUUUACAAAUUUUUGGAAUUUGAUUGAUUCCACUGUUAUAGUUUGUCUUAUGGAAAUUUGGCACCUCCAUUCAUCUGUUUAUUCACUUGUUUCAUCAAGAUUUAGGAUUGUUGAAUUUAAGGGUAUAAAGUAACCAGGGGUGGGGAAACCCAGAAACCCAGUGGUGGUCUUAUUGUUAGUAUGGAUUUUAAUUAAGUGUCUAAAAUGAGUCUUCUAAACAAUUCAUGGGUUUUACUUGUGAUACAAUUGGAUUUACAAUCUUUAAAGGACAUUUUAUUAAUGGUAGGUUAUAUUCCACCUGAUAAAAAAUACGAUUCUAAUUUCGUUGAAUCUCUUGGGAUUAUGG
rnacentral:lncRNA from 1 species